AAUGAGAGUAAAAAGGUUUUCUGGAAAAAGCGAAAGGGUCAGAGUUCACAAGGACCCUCUAAGAAGCACAAAACUGUGGCAGUCCACGCUGCUACUACUCCUGUCGCUGCUCCUACAACUCAAGCGCCUACCAAUAGGUAUGCUGGUAACCUCCCUUGGUGCAAUGAGUGCAGUUACCAUCACUCACUUCCANCAAUGAGUGCAGUUACCAUCAUCUCACUUCCAGCCCAUGCCGUGAGGUGUUUUACUACAACUGUGGCAAGAAAGGUCACCUUACGCGAAAUUGCAAAACACCAACUCAGCCAACCAAUCAAGCUUCCGG
rnacentral:lncRNA from 1 species